rnacentral:rRNA from 1 species
CCUACGGGAGGCAGCAGUGAGGAAUAUUGGUCAAUGGGCGCGAGCCUGAACCAGCCAAGUCGCGUGAGGGAAGACGGUCCUAUGGAUUGUAAACCUCUUUUGUCGGGGAGCAAAAGACGCCACGCGUGGCGUUCCGAGAGUACCCGAAGAAAAAACAUUGGCUAACUCCGUUCCCGCAGCCGCGGUAAUUCGGAGGAUUCGAGCGUUUUCCGGAUUUAUUGGGUUUAAAGGGUGCGCAGGCGGAAGGUCAAGUCAGCGGUAAAAUUGAGAGGCUCAACCUCUUCGAGCCGUUGAAACUGGUUGUCUUGAGUGAGUGAGAAGUAUGCGGAAUGCGUGGUGUAGCGGUGAAAUGCAUAGAUAUCACGCAGAACUCCGAUUGCGAAGGCAGCAUACCGGCGCUCAACUGACGCUCAUGCACGAAAGUGUGGGUAUCGAACAGGAUUAGAUACCCCUGUAGUC